rnacentral:tRNA from 1 species
GGCCUGAGAGCUCAACUGGUAGAGCACUGCACUGGCAUUGCAGAGGUCAGGGUUUGAAUCCCUUUAGGCCU